rnacentral:tRNA from 1 species
UCCGCAGUAGCACAACGGCAAAUUUCAAAUGGUUGAAAUCCAGGUUCAAAUCCUGGCUGCGGAA